rnacentral:rRNA from 1 species
CAUGCCGCGUGUGUGAAAAGGCCUUCGGGUUGUAAAGCACUUUUGUCCGGAAAGAAAGCGUCCUGGCUAAUACCUGGGAUGGAUGACGGUACCGGAAGAAUAAGCACCGGCUAACUACGUGCCAGCAGCCGCGGUAAUACGUAGGGUGCGAGCGUUAAUCGGAAUUACUGGGCGUAAAGCGUGCGCAGGCGGUUUUGUAAGACAGGCGUGAAAUCCCCGGGCUCAACCUGGGAAUUGCGCUUGUGACUGCAAGGCUAGAGUGCGUCAGAGGGGGGUAGAAUUCCACGUGUAGCAGUGAAAUGCGUAGAGAUGUGGAGGAAUACCGAUGGCGAAGGCAGCCCCCUGGGACGUGACUGACGCUCAUGCACGAAAGCGUGGGGAGCAAACA